rnacentral:ncRNA from 1 species
GAGAGCCGGAUGCGGGGCCAACUCGCACGUCCGGUUCGGGAGGGCGGCGUGGAGAAACGGGCUGGGAGGAAUCCCAGUACCGCGCUCCGCGCCGACCCCAC